CUACCCUCGCUUGAAACUAAGCAUAUCAAUAAGCGGAGGAAAAGAAACCAACAGGGAUUGCCCUAGUAACGGCGAGUGAAGCGGCAACAGCUCAAAUUUGAAAUCUGGCUCUUUCAGAGUCCGAGUUGUAAUUUGCAGAGGGCGCUUUGGCUUUGGCAGCGGUCCAAGUUCCUUGGAACAGGACGUCACAGAGGGUGAGAAUCCCGUACGUGGUCGCUAGCUAUUGCCGUGUAAAGCCCCUUCGACGAGUCGAGUUGUUUGGGAAUGCAGCUCUAAAUGGGAGGUAAAUUUCUUCUAAAGCUAAAUAUUGGCCAGAGACCGAUAGCGCACAAGUAGAGUGAUCGAAAGAUGAAAAGCACUUUGGAAAGAGAGUCAAACAGCACGUGAAAUUGUUGAAAGGGAAGCGCUUGCAGCCAGACUUGCUUGCAGUUGCUCAUCCGGGCUUUUGCCCGGUGCACUCUUCUGCAGGCAGGCCAGCAUCAGUUUGGGCGGUGGGAUAAAGGUCUCUGACACGUACCACCUUUCGGGGUGAACAUAUAGGGGAGAUGACAUACCACCAGCCUGGACUGAGGUCCGCGCAUCUGCUAGGAUGCUGGCGUAAUGGCUGUAAGCGGCCCGUCUUGAAACACGGACCAAGGAGUCUAACAUCUAUGCGAGUGUUUGGGUGUCAAGCCCGAACGCGUAAUGAAAGUGAACGGAGGUGGGAACCCGCAAGGGUGCACCAUCGACCGAUCCUGAAGUUUACGGAAGGAUUUGAGUAAGAGCAUGGCUGUUGGGACCCGAAAGAUGGUGAACUAUGCUUGAAUAGGGUGAAGCCAGAGGAAACUCUGGUGGAGGCUCGCAGCGGUUCUGACGUGCAAAUCGAUCGUCAAAUUUGGGCAUAGGGGCGAAAGACUAAUCGAACACCUCUCCGCUUUC
rnacentral:rRNA from 1 species